UCACGCGAAAAUACCACGUUGAAAGCACUGGUUCUCGUCCGACCACCGCAGUUAAGCAAAGUUGGGGCCAGUCAGUACUUGCAUAAGCUCUACCUAGAGCCCUUCUUGGGCUACUGCCGGUU
rfam:Schistosoma haematobium scaffold214_4, whole genome shotgun sequence.